rnacentral:tRNA from 1 species
GUCCUCAUAGUUCAAUGGAUAGAACCGCGGUUUCCUAAACCGUUAAUCUCAGUUCGAGUCUGAGUGGGGGCACCA